rnacentral:lncRNA from 1 species
CAGAAGGAACUUGCAUGAGAAGGAGGAAGAGGUGCGGCGGAGGUGGAACAACUCGCGGGUAGGGUGGCGGUGGUUUUCGGCGGCGGGGUUUUGUUAUCGUGAUUAAGGGGCUAAACCCUCGGGGGGUAGGCCGGUGGCCUCGCCGGGAAGGUGAGAUCGAGCGGGAGAGGAGACCCCAAAGAGGAAAGCACCAAACGGGAACCAUGAAACCCUAGAUGCCCAUCGCCCUUCUUCUUCUUCCUCUUCUUCUUCUUUGUCCCCGUUCCCUCUCCUGUAGUUAUUUACUCUCUCUCUCUCUCUCUCUAUACGCCUACUUUUUUCCUGCUCUCACUCUUCCGCCCCGUUGCCGUGGACAUCACUGCACGGGAAGUCGCCAAGCGAGAUUCCAAUUGCAGUCGAGUUCUCCCUCAGUCUCAGGUAUCGGUUGUCUUGUUAUCUGAUUCUAGUUUGAUUGCGGAGCAUUCGUUUCAUCGCGAUUGCCUUCGUGCUGGGGGAGAGUAGUGGAGGUUGUUAUCGCAUCUCGUGGAUAGGAUUCGAGGUGAUGGGUGCUCAGCAGUGCGACGAUGUCUUGCUUUCUUAUCGUUGAUAUUCUAUCGUGCGAAUUCACAGCGAUAAAAAAACUCGGCUUCUCUCGAUCUCUCUCCAGCUUUUACUGUAGCACGAUAAUUGUUUUCCUCUUACAUGUUGCUCUCGUGGGAUAUUCUCAACCGCUAUUCGAUGUUUGCCAUGCCUAACUGUUGUAGUUCUUCUUCAAGCUUUUUUUUGUCUGUACUGUUAGCUCCGUCAAUCAUCCUUGCUAUCUCGUUCGUCUUUAUUUGGUUAUUACUGGACGGUUAGUGUUCUCUUGUAGUGACGUCUUUCUUUCACAAGGAUAUUGAGGUUUCCAGUCUACGUCUCCGAACACACUUGUUAUCUUCCUGAUUUUUGGACUGUAUUUUUUAUUCAACCUACAAUCCUCAGAGCCAAAAAUGCAUUUUUUGCCGGUUUAUAUGUGAAUGUUUCUGGCGGUGCUAUUUAUUUCGCCCGCGUUUAUAACGUCUGUAAUUAAAAAUGUGGAUAAUGGCGGGCACAUGCUGAUCAAGCAACCUUUAAAUUCCUUCCCUGGUGAAUUAGCCUAAAAUGCAGAGUCUUCACCACGAAUGUAACCGCAUUAGUAUUUCUUUGAAUGUAUCUGUUAAAUAUUCUCAUGAGAUAAAUGUGGACGCACAGCAACGAUUUUAAAUGCGUAUUUGGUUUUUGUAAUUUAUUGGAAAGGUCUAGCUUUAGCUCUUGUGUAACAGCCAAUCAAUAAUCGUAUCAAUAUCUGUGUUCAUACUUUAUAUAUUAUAUAAAAGUAAUAUAAUCACAUCAAUAUCAUCAGCGUCACCUAACGAAUGAUCCAAUAUGGUGCUUUAUUCUUGAUUAAUGGAAAUGUUUGAAUGGAAACUUCGGACAAAAUGUGUGUCGUACAGUUCUUUCUAGAUUAUUUAACUGGUAGAAUUUAUCUUCUGAUUGCGUAUUUUGAGCUUUUAUAUUUUUUAAAUUGAUCAAUUGAGAGUGUGACCUGAUCAAAUGGAGAUGUCUAUUCUCCUUGUCAACUGGUGAAACUCAAUUUUAAGAUUAUCAUUCAUAUUUGUUAAUGCAACCACUAAAAAGAUAGGCAAAACCUCUGGUCAGUGUUAUUCGGCCAGAAGUAUGUUCACAGAAAUGUUCCUAGUAUGCAUUUAUGGUGCGUUAGCAUUCUGUGUGUGGAGAACACCGCGAUUGCCCUAGGCAUUCACUGCAGUAGUUGCAUCGGGAUGUGGAUAGGAAUCUGAAUAUCCUUUGUUGAUCUUAAUCCAUUCCAUUGAGUUGUAGCUACCUUCUUUUCUUUCUCUAUCUUCAGCUGCCUCCUCAAUCUGAUUUUUUGUUUUUGGAGCACUUGUUCCUGAACGUAAUAACUCAUCGCUCAGAUCCUAGUCCGCUGGGAUGCACUAUCUGUAAACCCAAGUAAUUAGUAUUAUCCAUGACUGAACCUCAACCAUCUCCACACUUGGUAAUAUGGGGUGUGCUUCAGCAACGUCUCAGUGUUGCUCCUUUUUCCCCUUUUUCAUUUUUUCUGCAUUAUCUGCGCUUCAUGUAACCUUCCUAGAUCUGAGAGAAUGCUUUUUAGGAUCAUGAAUACAUUUUUUCUUUUAAUUCAAUCAUUCAGUUUUCAGCUAUUUUUUUCGGAGGAAAAUUUAAAAUGUUUUAAACAUUACAUUUUUUGGGUGCUAGACUUGUUGCACUAUUUAUUAUUUAUUUUGUUCUCUUUCUCGUUAUUAAUGUAAGUGGUCUGCCUUUAUUUUAUCUCCUUUGGAAAAUAGAAAUUGGAAUGGGCAAUGAGUACGUAACGUGCAUCUAGAGUUUCUUGCUUUAAUUUUUUUUUGAAAGUGGGUGGUACCAAAUGAUUGCUCAAUAAAAUGACGAGAUUAUGCCCUUCCUGGUUAAAUUUUCGUGAAUUUUAUGAGAAUAUUGAUCAAUGAUGCUUCUACAUGAAUUUGGUUUAUUCUGAUAUAGAAAGAUUUUUUUUUCUUUUCGUUUUUAGGAAAUACAUGUUUCAUGUUGACUGUGAUUUUUUUGUCUCCCUUUGAUUUCUGUUUUUGUGGUUUGACAGUAGUUGGAGAACCACCCGAGGAAGAAAUGUCAACACCAAUAUUAUCCCCGGAAAACGUCUACAUGUGGUGCAUAAUUACUAUCCAAUCAAUGUGAAGUAAUAACUUCUCUGCAUCAUUGCUGUUAUAUCGAAUAUUUAAUUUGGUAAAACAGCCUUUUUGCUAUUCAAGCUUGCAAAAGCAUUCUUACGUCCCAUCAUC